rnacentral:rRNA from 1 species
UUGGACGUGAAAGCUCCUGGCUCAACUAGGAGAGGUCGUUCAAAACUGCCUGGCUAGAGGGCGACAGAGGGAGGUGGAAUUCCCGGUGUAGUGGUGAAAUGCGUAGAUAUCGGGAGGAACACCAGUGGCGAAGGCGGCCUCCUGGGUCGCCCCUGACGCUCAGACGCGAAAGCUAGGGGAGCAAACGGGAUUAGAUACCCCGGUAGUCCUAGCUGUAAACGAUGUGGACUUGGCGUUGGUGGGGUCAAAUCCAUCAGUGCCGUAGCUAACGCGAUAAGUCCACCGCCUGGGGACUACGGUCGCAAGGCUAAAACUCAAAGGAAUU